rnacentral:rRNA from 1 species
GACGAACGCUGGCGGCGUGCUUAACACAUGCAAGUCGAACGGAAAGGCCCUGCUUUUGUGGGGUGCUCGAGUGGCGAACGGGUGAGUAACACGUGAGUAACCUGCCCUUGACUUUGGGAUAACUUCAGGAAACUGGGGCUAAUACCGGAUAGGAGCUCCUGCUGCAUGGUGGGGGUUGGAAAGUUUCGGCGGUUGGGGAUGGACUCGCGGCUUAUCAGCUUGUUGGUGGGGUAGUGGCUUACCAAGGGUUUGACGGGUAGCCGGCCUGCGAGGGUGACCGGCCACAUUGGGACUGAGAUACGGCCCAGACUCCUACGGGAGGCAGCAGUGGGGAAUAUUGCACAAUGGGCGGAAGCCUGAUGCAGCAACGCCGCGUGCGGGAUGACGGCCUUCGGGUUGUAAACCGCUUUCGCCUGUGACGAAGCGUGAGUGACGGUAAUGGGUAAAGAAGCACCGGCUAACUACGUG